AAAUUUUUGUUUGAACAAUUCAGAAAAUCGAACAUUAUUUCUCCUACUCGUUUCUUGGAGAGAUAGCCUUCGGCGGAAUUAACAUAUGCGCUGGAGCUUUUGCGCUCUCUCAGGGAUCAUUGGUUCAAGAAAAAGUGCGAUACAUCAACUGUUUGUACGAGCUGUGCGUUAGCACAAUUCACAUUUUGUUACCACUCUAUUUUGGCAAUGAAAUGAUCCUCAAAAUGCGGAGCCUUCUUUCGGCUCUUUACGAAUCAAAUUGGGUGGAACAGUCGCAAGAGUUUCGUAAAAUUAUGGUCAUUUUCUUGGAAAAUUUGAAGAGGCCUCGUCUAAUUUUUGUGGCACACGUUGUUCCGUGGGAUUUGGAAACUUUCAC